UACGGGGGGGACUAGCGUUGUUCGGAAUUACUGGGCGUAAAGCGCACGUAGGCGGUUUGUUUAGUCAGGGGUGAAAUCCCGAGGCUCAACCUCGGAACUGCCUUUGAUACUGGCAAUCUCGAGUCCGGAAGAGGUGAGUGGAAUUCCUAGUGUAGAGGUGAAAUUCGUAGAUAUUAGGAAGAACACCAGUGGCGAAGGCGGCUCACUGGUCCGGUACUGACGCUGAGGUGCGAAAGCGUGGGGAGCAAACAGG
rnacentral:rRNA from 1 species